AGUGGUAGAGGGAGGAAGAAAUGGGAACUGACUGCUUAAUAAGUAUGGGAUUUUUGGUGGGGUGUUGAUGCAAUGUUUUGCAACUAGAUAGGGAUGAUGGCUGGCUGCACAGCAUUGAUGGAGUUCAAUGGUGCAAUCGCGGCUCACGGCAACUAGAGGAGUUAUAACACAAGAUUUGGGGUGACGGCAUGGAAAUUAAAAGCUGGUGAAGCACAUGGCCUUUAGAUCUGGAUGUACUUGAGCUGUGGGAUACAGAGCAUAAAGGGGAGCACACCACUAAGCUGAUUGCCAAAAGACUUAAGCUAAGUGUCUCAUGGAGAAGGGAAACAACUAUUAUGAGUCAUCUACACCUUACUGCCAACAAAUCUCAUGUCAUUUCCCGACAAUGGGUUUAGAGGAGAAGAAUGACAUAGCCCAAUGAAGAUAGGAAACUAUUCUGGACUUUGGAAGAAUAUGUAAAAAAAACAAAAAAAAAAACAAAAAAAAAAAAACAAGUUUUCUGUAUUUCUUCUAGAUGGGAGAAGACAAGGAAUGAAAAAGGAAACCAAGAUAAUUUCAUACUAGAGAGGUCUAGGCUCUGGAAAGGAGGUGACUAAACCCCUGGAUAGAUCUGGAGAUUCUGAGAUCAGGGAGUAUCAGUGACACACCUCGCAGACCUGAUCCUUCCUGAAACCAGUCUAGCAAACUGGGGAAAUCAAGGAAAAUGAAAUGACUAUGUGGUAUAUCUGAGAAGAUGGGCCAGAGGCACCUUUGUAGAGUUACCCAUAGCAUAGAAAGAUCGAGAACAGAAGGAUAUAUUCUGUGUGUCCAAGCCUAGUGCAGACAUGGGGCGUGAAGCCAGGGCCCACACACAAAAGGCCCUGUGGCUGCCUUGAAGGGGCUGCAGGGGGUACCUGGAGGAAUAGAGGAAGACACCAAAGACAAAAUGCUCACUCUUGAACCAUGAGCCUCUACAUAAAAAGGUCCUUGAACUUACUGGGACUAAGUUUUCAUUACCUGACAAAAUUGGGAAUCAAAGUAUAGAUUAAUAUUAGUUAUAGAAAAUAAAAAAAAUUCGUACCCA
ensembl:lncRNA novel transcript